CUUUUCAUCACAACUAUUAACCAUAUCUCAAGUUAAUCACAGUAGGCACUUAACAAUAACUAAAAGCACUUCAAGUCUCAAACAUAACCCAAAGAUACCAAACAUAUAUAUACAACCACAAAGCUUACUCAAACUAGCUUAUAAAACAACAUCAUCAUAAACAAAAUAACUUAAAGGCUCCUAGUAGAUGCCAUUUAUAACCCAAAAUCAAAAUAACCAAAACUUCUACUAAUAUGAAGGAUGGAUAGUGUGAAUGGACUCCGGCUUGAUUCCAACCGAUCGAACUUUACGUUGACCUAUAGAAAGAUAAACAACUAACAUAAUAAUGUGAACUUAAACUUACCAAACAUGUUAUAUUUAACCUAUUCAAGCAUGAGUUCAUUCAUUAGAUAAUGUGCACACAUUUUAUUCCUAUACACACAACAUCACAAGGUUAGUAGGUGUAUCAACGAAACAUAUAAUUCCAACAAAUCAUGGAACAUGUAAUAAUAAAUAUUUUCGUACAUAUUUCAUCCAUCAUAUAUUCGAUAACAUAGCUUCCCAUUUCAAGUAUUUAUAUCAACAUUUUCCAAUUCACAUGUCUUAAUCACAUAACAUUUCAUAUAUAUACACACAUUCAUUUUAAGCCUUUAUCACCCGGUAAACCAAAUGAAAUAAUAUUGGAUACUCGAGAAAUGCUCACACAAGCUGUAAAUAUAACAUGUAACCAUAUAUGCUCACAUGAGCUGUGAAAUGGGCUUGCUCACACAAGCUAUGGGUUGGGAUGCUAGGCUACACGAUGCUACUCACAUGAGCUAUGGAGAAUCCACAACAAAUGCAAGACCUCAACCAUCGGUAGGACAUCCAAGACCAGCACCCGAAACUGUAUAUAACCUCUAAUGACAUGUCAUUUGUAUCCUAAGUAUUCACAAGGUUCAAAUGGGACAGAUUCCAUAUCUAAUCCUUUAACUUCAUUCCAUUAUACCAUCUCAAAUAUGCAUCCAUGAAAUUCACGUUUUUCACACAUAAUCAUCAAUUUGAUUAACAUUACGAUUUAGUUCAAAUCACUGGUUAACAUUUUAUAAACAAUUAAAAUUAUACAAAACACAAAAUUAAUUAAACAUUCGUCCAAAAUAAAAAUUAACAAGCUUAAAAAAUAUACGAACUUACUUAGACCAAAAACGGUUGCGAAAACAAGGCCGACGAUUAAUCCGCUAAUUUAGCUUUUCCACG
rnacentral:lncRNA from 1 species